AGAGAGCAUAGGAACUCAUCACCAGCCACUGCUGGCCAUGCAUAAAGUGAGUCCUGUGGCUGAUGGAGGACUAAGACUAAAGAUCUUUGAAGGAGCACAGAGGGGUGGUUGGAAUGGAAGGAGGAUGAAUGGAUUGGUACACCUCCAAAGCUAUUUUCCAGAUGGACUUACCCAGGCUGGGAUGUGCCUUUUGUCCUUUACCAGUGAGCCAAGCCUCAGCCCGGAGCUGCUUCUCCCGUGCUUGGAUACAGCAGUGGCAGGUGGGGAGCAUAACAGAACUGGGCUGGUCCCAAAAGGAAGCAC
ensembl:lncRNA